rnacentral:lncRNA from 1 species
GGCCAGGGUGGCAGAUACGUAGGAGAAAAUGUCCUUUGGUGUGAGGAGAGGUCCUUCCCAACCCCAGGGUGUGCACUCCUCUGGCCCUUUGGAGCUGACUCACGAAUAGGUCUAGAUCUGCAGUUUGAAAAAUACUGAACUGUGUCUGAUGCUGUCACCACCGGGUUAAGAUGAAACUGCUUGCUCCAGAGGACUAACGACAGGGGCAGAGGUUUUUGGCACCGUUUGUAUCUCCA